GACGAACGCUGGCGGCGUGCUUAACACAUGCAAGUCGAACGGAAAGGCCCUGCUUUUGUGGGGUGCUCGAGUGGCGAACGGGUGAGUAACACGUGAGUAACCUGCCCUUGACUUUGGGAUAACUUCAGGAAACUGGGGCUAAUACCGGAUAGGAGCUCCCGCUGCAUGGUGGGGGUUGGAAAGUUUCGGCGGUUGGGGAUGGACUCGCGGCUUAUCAGCUUGUUGGUGGGGUAGUGGCUUACCAAGGCUUUGACGGGUAGCCGGCCUGAGAGGGUGACCGGCCACAUUGGGACUGAGAUACGGCCCAGACUCCUACGGGAGGCAGCAGUGGGGAAUAUUGCACAGUGGGCGGAAGCCUGAUGCAGCAACGCCGCGUGCGGGAUGACGGCCUUUGGGUUGUAAACCGCAUUCGCCUGUGACGAAGCGUGAGUGACGGUAAUGGGUAAAGAAGCACCGGCUAACUACGUG
rnacentral:rRNA from 1 species